rnacentral:tRNA from 1 species
CACCUUGUGGCAUAGUGAUCAAAAUGCUUGCCUGGUAAUCAGGAAGGUGUGGGUUCAAUCCCCACCAAGUGA